rnacentral:rRNA from 1 species
GAUGAACGCUGACAGAAUGCUUAACACACGCAAGUCGAUGGGGAAGUGGUGCUUGCACCAUGGCAACCAUGGCGGACGGGUGAGUAACGCGUAAGGGACUUACCUGCAGGACUGGGAUAACAGGGGGAAACUCCUGACAAGACCGGAUAAUGUCAUGGAGCUGCAUGGCUUUAUGAUGAAAGGAGACGCCUGCGGAGAGCCUUGCGUCCUAUUAGCUAGUUGGUGAGGUAAUGGCUCACCAAGGCGAAGAUAGGUAGCCGGCCUGAGAGGGUGGACGGCCACAAGGGGACUGAGAUACGGCCCUUACUCCUACGGGAGGCAGCAGGGGGGAAUAUUGGACAAUGGGGGCAACCCUGAUCCAGCAAUUCUGUGUGCACGAAGAAGGUUUUCGGAUUGUAAAGUGCUUUCAGCAGGGAAGAAGUAAGUGACGGUACCUGCAGAAGAAGCGACGGCUAAAUACGUG